GUUAGCAAAUGCUAACGCUAUCACAGCUAGCUCCACUCCACGAAACGCUGUUCAGGGUCAUAACACAAACAAGUCGUCAAGUCAAGCAGCUGAGGAAAGGGCUUAAGGAAACCAUGGUAUGGCCGCUUCUGACAGAAAGAUCAGACAUCAUUCCUCCUUUCUUACCAAGGGAAUCAGAGACUGCUCCCUGUUGUGAGACUACAAGAUAAGUAAAGCUAUAAAAUGACUGUGGCCUGCCACAGAAGAUGAAGAUGAGGAAGAAGAGGAAUGCUCUCGAGGAUAAAUGCAGAGUGGCAGGUUACCUUCGGUCCUUCAUUGAAAAUGCAUCUUGUGCACAACAAAAAGCCCUCAUCAAGUUUUGGACAGGAUGGGAAGUCUUGCCGAGAAAUGACUGUGG